CAGCAGCCGCGGUAAAACGAAGGGUGCAAGCGUUACUCGGAAUUACUGGGCGUAAAGCGUGCGUAGGUGGUGGUUUAAGUCCGUUGUGAAAGCCCUGGGCUCAACCUGGGAAUUGCAGUGGAUACUGGGUCACUAGAGUGUGGUAGAGGAUAGUGGAAUUUCCGGUGUAGCAGUGAAAUGCGUAGAGAUCGGAAGGAACAUCUGUGGCGAAGGCGACUAUCUGGGCCAACACUGACACUGAGGCACGAAAGCGUGGGGAGCAAACAGGAUUAGAUACCCCCGUAGUCCCUGUCUCCUUAUC
rnacentral:rRNA from 1 species